GGCCUGAGUGGUAUUUCAAUUAUUGGAGUCAGUUUUGCUAAGACCUGGGGCUGCAAAGGUCUGAGAUCCUGUUACAAUAGGAGGAACAGAGCCUCACUCCCUCCCUUGAGACCCUGUUGAUUGACUUGGUCACAACGUAGAUGUCCUUCAACUGACAAAUGGAUGUGAAAAUCUGGCACACAUGAACUAUGGAAUACUCUUCAGCUAUAGAGAACAAUGAAAUUAUGAAAUCGGUGGACAAAUCUAUGGAUGGAACUAGAAAAGUUUAUACUAAGUGAGCUUCAUUUUAGAUCAGAUGGCAUCCUGCUUAGUCACUUUGAUCAUUUCCCAUCGCUGUGGGUCGGAGAAGAGCCCUCAGAAGAAUGUUUUCUGAUUACACAAGGCCGUGUUUGUCCCCUGGGAGAGCAAGGAAUAAGGAUAAUAGCAUCUCUUGGCCAAGCGCUGAAAGCUGUCACUGUAACGUAGCCUGUGGAGGAGCCCAGAGGCUGGCCUUCCAUCACAGCUGGGCCUGGAG